UCGUUUCCAUUUGACCACACAAAGAAAACCCUAGUCAUUCUCUCUUCAAUCUUUUUUCCCAUGGAUCAUGAGUUCUCUCUUCUCUAUCAUUUCACACCGAUGGUACACAAAGAGUCAUAGCCUUUCUUCUUUUCUUUCUCUAACUUUCUUUUGCUCCACCACCACCACUUCGCCAUGGCUAUGACUUCAAUCAAGCUUGAUUUCUUUAGCAUGGAGAGGGAUGAGUCCUCUUCCAAAUCUCAGUUCUAGAAGUUUGUUCAUCGCCAACGAAGCUUUCCAGGUUGGUGAUUUAUGGCUUGUUUGGAGAUUCAAAUGGCUGUAAAGAAUGAAGAUUAUGUAACUAUAUGGACGGCCAAGAUAUGGAAAGACAAUAACUUAACGUUUUCAGUAUGCGACUUCUAGGGGUGAGGAUGGAACAAACCAUUCUGCAUUAGGAAGACAUGGGCAAUAC